rnacentral:misc_RNA from 1 species
UGGCUCUCGCAUCGAUGAAGAACGCAGCGAAAUGCGAUAAGUAAUGUGAAUUGCAGAAUUCAGUGAAUCAUCGAAUCUUUGAACGCACCUUGCGCUCCUUGGUAUUCCGAGGAGCAUGCCUGUUUGAGUGUCAUGAAGUUCUCAACUCAGAGAGCAUUUGUUUGUUCUCUGAGACUGGAAUUGGAGGUUUGCCGGCGAUGGUCGGCUCCUCUCAAAUGCAUUAGCUGGGCUGUGCUCGAGAGAAAACAGUCGGUGUGAUAAUUAUCUGCGCCGUCACUGAAGUAUCUCGGAUCCCGCUUCUAAUCGUCCUUCUGGGACAACACAUCUUGACAUCUGACCUCAAAUCAGGUAGGAUUACCCGCUGA